UUCUCCAAGUAAUCGCAUCGUUUUCAGAGCGCUCAAUUCUCGACAAUUCGAGCAGCUCUGUGUUACACGUGGUGAAAUGGUUAUGUGUCCAGAAGAGUAUCCAUAAUUCGUAAUCGAAGAGUGAUUUUUGACUGAAAGCCAUUUAUUUGUUUGCCAAGAAGUGCGAUGUAAUUGCAAUUGGAGCUGAUCAAUUGUUUGGAGUGGUCGGCCCUGGCAUUGUAACAAGCAUAACAACUUUCUGGUAUUAAAGUGACACAGGUCGUUCGUCGCAAGCUCGUUCUCGAGGUCACUACGCCACGCUGCUUGUGAUGCGGACAAUGUAUCCCGUCAAAUUCGCCUAGAUUAUAGAAAUAAUAAAGAUUAAACAAUGAUUUGAAAUGAUAAAGCUUCUGUAUGGUCGUUGGUAAGUUGUUUUAUCCACACAGCAAUAAUUGAUCUACGAAGUGUACUACCAAGAAUGUUAUUUUUGUGCAAGGAGGUUUUAGUCAUUAAUAAUAUAUAAUAAUAAUAACUUUUAUUUCUCACCAACAACCAAAAUUACAAUAUAGCGAAAACUUAAAAAUACAGGGGAUAUAUAAGUUUUGGUAGUGGAUCGCUGGUGCCUGUGGUAGGUAAUAAAAUACCUGUAUUACUGGUCACCAGGAUUUCACUUACACAGUGACUAAAAAGCUUGAAAUUCUAAAAGAUAGAGGUAAAUGUGUGUGUGUGUGUGUGUGUGUGUGU